rnacentral:rRNA from 1 species
UCCAGACUCCUACGGGAGGCAGCAGUGGGGGAUAUUGCACAAUGGGGGGAACCCUGAUGCAGCGACGCCGCGUGGGUGAAGGAGCGUUUCGGCGCGUAAAGCCCUAUCGGCAGGGAAGAAGGAGGACGGUACCUGACUAAGAAGCCCCGGCUAACUACGUGCCAGCAGCCGCGGUAAUACGUAGGGGGCAAGCGUUAUCCGGAUUUACUGGGUGUAAAGGGGGCGCAGACGGCAGCGCAAGCCAGGAGUGAAAGCCCGGGGCCCAACCCCGGGACUGCUCUUGGAACUGCGCGGCUGGAGUGCAGGAGGGGCAGGCGGAAUUCCUGGUGUAGCGGUGAAAUGCGUAGAUAUCAGGAGGAACACCGGUGGCGAAGGCGGCCUGCUGGACUGCGACUGACGUUGAGGCCCGAAAGCGUGGGGAGCAAACAGGAUUAGAUACCCCCGUAUU